UUUAACUGAAGAGUUUGAUCAUGGCUCAGAUUGAACGCUGGCGGCAGGCUUAACACAUGCAAGUCGAGCGGGGGAAGGUAGCUUGCUACUGGACCUAGCGGCGGACGGGUGAGUAAUGCUUAGGAAUCUGCCUAUUAGUGGGGGACAACAUCUCGAAAGGGAUGCUAAUACCGCAUACGUCCUACGGGAGAAAGCAGGGGAUCUUCGGACCUUGCGCUAAUAGAUGAGCCUAAGUCGGAUUAGCUAGUUGGUGGGGUAAAGGCCUACCAAGGCGACGAUCUGUAGCGGGUCUGAGAGGAUGAUCCGCCACACUGGGACUGAGACACGGCCCAGACUCCUACGGGAGGCAGCAGUGGGGAAUAUUGGACAAUGGGGGGAACCCUGAUCCAGCCAUGCCGCGUGUGUGAAGAAGGCCUUAUGGUUGUAAAGCACUUUAAGCGAGGAGGAGGCUACUUUAGUUAAUACCUAGAGAUAGUGGACGUUACUCGCAGAAUAAGCACCGGCUAACUCUGUGCCAGCAGCCGCGGUAAUACAGAGGGUGCGAGCGUUAAUCGGAUUUACUGGGCGUAAAGCGUGCGUAGGCGGCUUAUUAAGUCGGAUGUGAAAUCCCCGAGCUUAACUUGGGAAUUGCAUUCGAUACUGGUGAGCUAGAGUAUGGGAGAGGAUGGUAGAAUUCCAGGUGUAGCGGUGAAAUGCGUAGAGAUCUGGAGGAAUACCGAUGGCGAAGGCAGCCAUCUGGCCUAAUACUGACGCUGAGGUACGAAAGCAUGGGGAGCAAACAGGAUUAGAUACCCUGGUAGUCCAUGCCGUAAACGAUGUCUACUAGCCGUUGGGGCCUUUGAGGCUUUAGUGGCGCAGCUAACGCGAUAAGUAGACCGCCUGGGGAGUACGGUCGCAAGACUAAAACUCAAAUGAAUUGACGGGGGCCCGCACAAGCGGUGGAGCAUGUGGUUUAAUUCGAUGCAACGCGAAGAACCUUACCUGGCCUUGACAUACUAGAAACUUUCCAGAGAUGGAUUGGUGCCUUCGGGAAUCUAGAUACAGGUGCUGCAUGGCUGUCGUCAGCUCGUGUCGUGAGAUGUUGGGUUAAGUCCCGCAACGAGCGCAACCC
rnacentral:rRNA from 1 species